rnacentral:lncRNA from 1 species
AUUGAAUCAUGGAGCAAGUCUUUCCCAUGCUGUUCUUGUGACAGUGAAUAAGUCUCACAAGAUCUGACGGUCUUUAAAAGAGGAAUUCCCCUGCACAAGUUCCCUCUCUUUGCCUGCUAUCAUCUAUGUAAGACGUGACUUGCUGUACUUUGCCUUCUGCCAUGAUUGUGAGGCUUCACCAGCCCUGUGGAACUAUGUCAGAAGAGUUUGAAACCUCAGAUUUGUGAAGGUUUAAGCAAGGAAACUAUGCAAGAGUAUCACCAUGUGGUGGAAUACUGAAAUGGAAAAAGUAUGGACCUUGGACUUGGGAAGUUGGUAAGGGUUGUCAGACCCUCUACAAAUAUUCAGGAAAUUGAUACAGUAAUUUACUAAAAUCCACUCACUGAAUAAAAGUUUGCUGAACACCUG